rnacentral:sRNA from 1 species
GGCUGCCCUGGCCACCCUCCUGGGAGCUGUCCUCAGCUUCACCUGCAUCCCCGCCAGCACUAAAGGGGCCAAAACUGACGCCCAGGCUCCACUGCCAGGCGGCCCCCGGGCCAGUGUGUUCGACCUGAAGGCCAUCGCCUCCCUGCUGCGGCUGCCAGACGUCCCGAGGAUCUUCCUGGUGAAGGUGGCCUCCAACUUCCCCACAGGGCUCUUCAUGGUCAUGUUCUCCAUCAUCUCCAUGGACUUCUUCCAGCUGGAGGCCGCCCAAGCUGGCUACCUCAUGUCCUUCUUCGGGCUCCUCCAGAUGGAAUUUGGGAGAGUGACUGGUCCCCUGCAGAGGUGCUGCAGGCUGGGCCUGCCUCAUGGGCAGAUACUGAGCCCAGGGGCUCCUCCAGCCGGGGCCACCCCUGCACUCCCAGGCGCGUUGGCCCAGCGUGCCCUGCUCAGUGGAGGAGCUGAGAUGACCAGAUAGGGAGCCUCGCCCUGGCCUGGGAGCAGCCUGUCCCACCGAGUCCAUCCCUGGGAGCAGCCUACGGCCGAGCCUGUCCCACCGAG